UACGUAGGUGGCAAGCGUUGUUCGGAAUUAUUGGGCGUAAAGGGUGCGUAGGUGGGUAUGUAAGUCAGUGGUGAAAUCUCCGUGCUUAACAUGGAAACUGCCAUUGAUACUAUGUUUCUUGAAUUUUCUGGAGGUCAGCGGAAUAUGUCAUGUAGCGGUGAAAUGCUUAGAUAUGACAUAGAACACCAAUUGCGAAGGCAGCUGACUACAGGGAUAUUGACACUGAGGCACGAAAGCGUGGGGAUCAAACAGG
rnacentral:rRNA from 1 species